rnacentral:tRNA from 1 species
GGAAGGCAUUCGUAUCCGGUGGUACGGCCGGCCUUCAAAUCCGGUUGGGGGUGUCAGACGCUCCCGGGUAGGUUCGACUCCUGCUGCCUUCCGCCA